rnacentral:tRNA from 1 species
UAGAUUAAAGCCUACUGAUUAAGGCGCUUAGCUGUUAACUAAGAAGUUGUGGGAUAAAAGCCCGCUGAUCUAG